rnacentral:pre_miRNA from 1 species
AAGGUACUCCCUCCGUCCGAAAAUACUUGUCAUCAAAAUGGAUAAAAAGAGAUUUAUCUAGAACUAAAAUACAUCUAGAUACAUCCCCUUUUAUCCAUUUUGAUGACAAGUAUUUCCGGACGGAGGGAGUAUGUG